rnacentral:lncRNA from 1 species
UUCAGUCAAGUUACUUCUCUGUGCCUCAGUUUCCUCCUCUGUGAAAUGGGAUAAUCAGGAUAGAUUGGGGUAUACAGAGGAAACAAACACCUGCAAAUAUCAGUAGCUUAAAACACAUGCUCUGUGCCCAAUGUGGUCAGCUGGGGCUCUGCUCACGCUGUCCGCUCCAAGAGACCCAGGCUCCUAGAGGCUCCACCAUCUGGACAGUGCUGGUCAGAACGACAAGGAGAAAAGAGAGGUGAUAAACUGGCUCUUAAAUGUUUCCACCUGGAAGUAAUGCACAUCAUUCCUGCUCAUAAUUCAUUGAUCAAAAAAAGUCACAUGGCUCUACUGAAUUUGAAGGAAGAUAAAGUGGAAAUCUAUCUACCUGGAGAAAGGAGAAGAGGAAAUAUUGACUGAUAAACAGCACCGAUGUUGGACACAAGUCCAGCUCAGGUGCCUGUUCUGCGACUUCAGGCAAGUUGCUUUCUAUGCUUCCGUUUACUCAGCUGCUGGAUGGGAUCAGGAUACGCCACAUCGAAAUACGCCACUUUGGCAUGACGAUUAUUUUGAGCUAAAGGCAAUCAAGAAACAGCAGAUGCAGAAAAAUCUCUUUCCUCCCCAUUUCUGCAUAAAGGCAGGGCAUAAAUUUCCCUUUGUGAAGGUGUCCACCCUCCCCUACUCCCACACCAGGAAGAAGAAAGGAUUCUGAUCACUGGAGAUGGCACCAUAAGCAUAAGCAAAUGUUACUGAAAUAACCCUUGUCUUCCAUUAGUUUCCCCCAUAUAUUUACUUUCCCACAAUUUACUGCUCCUAGAAGCUCAAACCUUUUUCUUUUAUCUUGUCACUUCUCCACAAGUUUAUCACCCUGUGUUAAAAUGGUAUAUGAGCUCACAACCCAACCAGUUCUUUGACUUUUCAUUUCCUUUCUGUGAGAUCCCCAUAUACAUGUAAAAAAUUAUAAUAUUAACAUCAAAUUAAAAUGUGCAUGCCUCUUCUUCUGUUAACCCGUCUUUUGUCAGUUUAAUGUGCAGGGUCUCAGGAACAGAAUGUAAGAGGGUAGAGGAAAACAUUUUUCCUCUCCUAUACCGCAAAAUGUGGAUAACAACAGAAUCCACCUUAUUGGUAAAGUGAGGAUUAAACAAGAGAAUGUUUGUGUGGCACUUAACGCAUGACCAGCUCAUAGUCAGUGCCUAAUAAGUGAGCACCUGUUAGAUAGUCACCAAUACUAGUCCUAUCUACCUCCACCUCCAGCCUGGGUAUCCUUGCCCCUUAAGGUCCCAGGACAAUUUAGAGAAGGCAGAACAGCUGAGUCACAGAAACAUCGCCGAUUUAAUUAACCAAAGGAAGC